UGAAUUUCGCCACCGGGUGAAAUGCAGAUGUCAAUGUACUCCGUUAGGUCUUAGAAGGAGUGCAUUGGCAUCUUUUUGUCUG
rnacentral:ncRNA from 1 species